rnacentral:rRNA from 1 species
AUGACGAGUGGCGCACGGGUGAGUAACGCGUAUGCAAUCUACCUAUAACUGAGGAAUAGCCCAGAGAAAUUUGGAUUAAUACCUCAUAAUAUUAUUAUUUGGCAUCAUUUAAUAAUUAAAACUCCGGUGGUUAUAGAUGAGCAUGCGUUCUAUUAGCUAGUUGGUGAGGUAAGAGCUCACCAAGGCUACGAUAGAUAGGGGGCCUGAAAGGGUGAUCCCCCACACUGGUACUGAGACACGGACCAGACUCC